AGGAUUCUCCCAGUAACGGCGAGUGAACGGAGAUUAGCCCAUCACCGAAGACUGGCAUUCUUAUGCACAAGUCAAUGUGGUGUUUAGGCUUGUGCCUGGGAUUGAGCACCUGCCCGAAGUCCAAUCUCGAUUGUGGCAUUGGAUAUUCCCCAGAGAGGGUGAAAGGCCCUUCCGGGUAGGCUAUUGUGUUCGAAUGCUCAGUCCUCAGACGCGCAGGCUAUCGAGUCGGAUUGCUUGAGAAUGCAGUCCAAAGUGGGUGGUAAACUCCAUCCAAGGCUAAAUACUGGCACGAGUCCGAUAGUAGACAAGUACCGUGAGGGAAAGUUGAAAAGUACUCUGAAGAGAGAGUUAAUAGUACGUGAAGCCAAAUUCAGGGAAGCUGGUGGAGUCAAGCUUCGUGCUUGAGGAAUUGUGGCGGGCAUUUAUUGAUUGUGAUUAUGGGUGCUCGACUGGUCAAUAUGGAAAUUAUUGGGCACAUUCGUGUGCUUCAAGACAUCUCCGGGUUGUGUGUUUGCGGCCAGUUGUAGUGCUCUAAUGCCCGUUACCUAUUCUUCAUUUUGCACAGAUCAUGGUCAAUGAUCACGCGCUAUAUGAUGGUCUAAUGGUGUUUUGGUGAGCUUUCAGUUUGCCAGUCACUUGACGGCAGGUGUCAUUCGUCGAGCGUCAGCUUGUCGAUAUGAUUAUAUUGUUUUCGAACUGCCGGUCAUCGUGUAUGUGUCGUUGGUUAUUGUUCUUCAAUGGUUCAGUCGUAGCGAUACGGCUGGCCAGUAAGAACCAUGAUCCUGAGGUAGA
rnacentral:rRNA from 1 species